AAGACAGCUACACAAGAACUGCUAACUCUUGCCCCCACGCGUAAAGACGUGGCUAUCUUA
rnacentral:tRNA from 1 species